ACUGAUAAUUUCUUAUUACUAUAAUAAAAAGAAUAAAAUUUAUUAAUAAAAAAUAAUUAUAAAUAUAAGUAACUAGUAUAUUUUAUAAAAAUAAACUUUUAAGUAAUAGUAGAAUAGUAUUGUAAAAGAAAUUUUAAAUAAUUUAAAAAUAAUUAAAAAAAAGAAGUUUUUAAUAUUCAUACCUUGUGUAUCAUAGAAAAUCAAACUAAUUUUUAUAUAAAAAUAUCUCGAAAAAAGAAGAGCUAAGUUAAUAAAAAUUUUUUAUAUCAAUAAAAUUUAUAAUAUUAACUUUGAAGUGAAAAAUUAUUCGAUUCUUUAUAUCUAGUUUUUAAAAAAAUGAAUUUAAUUCAACUUAUAGUUAUAAUUAAUUAUAAUUUAAGUGUAUAAGGGUAGAGCUUUAUACACAAAUAUUUUCAAAAUAUGAAAUAAAAUUAACAUUAAUAAAAAAUUAGGCUUUUUAGUGGCCAUAUUUAUAAAGUGUUUCAACUAAUAAAAUUUAAAAUAAUAUUUUUUUAUUUCUAUAUUUAUAUUUAAAAAUAAUUUAAAAUAAUUUAAAUUUAAUUAAAAUGAUUUUAUUAGUAUAGAAAACUAUUAAACAAUAAAUAAUAAAAUUAAUAAUAAUAAUUUUUUAUUUUUUAGAUUCUAAAAAGAAACUCGGCAAAAUAAAUUUUCCGCCUGUUUAACAAAAACAUGUCUAUAUGAAGAUUUAUAUAGUCUAGCCUGCCCACUGAAAUAUAAUUAAAGGGCCGCGGUAUCCUGACUGUGCGAAGGUAGCAUAAUCAUUUGUCUUUUAAUUGAAGACUUGUAUGAAUGGUUGAACGAGAAAAUAACUGUCUCUUUAAAAAAUCUUGAACUUUACUUUUAAGUGAAAAGGCUUAAAUAUUUUUAAGGGACGAUAAGACCCUAUAAAUCUUUAUAUUAUUUUUCUUUAAAUUUCAAACUAUAUAUUAAAAGAAAGAAAAGAAAAAAAAUAUUAUAUUGGGGAGAUAAAAAUAUAAUUUUUAACUGUUUUAAAAAUAAAACAAUAAUUUUUGAUUAAAAAAAAUGAUCCUUUUUAAAGAUUUAAAGAUUAAGUUACUUUAGGGAUAACAGCGUAAUUUUUUUUGAGAGUUCUUAUCGAAAUAAAAGUUUGCGACCUCGAUGUUGAAUUAAAAUAUCCUUAUAAGUGUAGAAGCUAUAAAGGAAAGUCUGUUCGACUUUUAAAAUUUUACAUGAUUUGAGUUCAGACCGGCGCGAGCCAGGUCGGUUUCUAUCCUAGUUUAUCCUUUAAUUUUUAUAGUUUAACCUUUUCUUCUAUAUUUUAAUAUUUUAUUAAUUAUAAUUUGAUUUCACCCUUUAUAUAAAUAAUUUAUUAAAAUAAACUAUAAAUAUUAGUAU
rnacentral:rRNA from 1 species